rnacentral:piRNA from 1 species
UAGACAAAAAUCUAGGUGCUUUUCAGUC